rnacentral:rRNA from 1 species
GAGGAAAAGAAACCAACAGGGAUUGCCUCAGUAACGGCGAGUGAAGCGGCAAAAGCUCAAAUUUGAAAUCCCCCCGGGGAGUUGUAAUUUGAAGAUUGCGUCUUGGAGGCGACCGUGUCUAUGUUCCUUGGAACAGGACGUCACAGAGGGUGAGAAUCCCGUGCGGCACGGCCCCCGGCUCCUUAUAAGGCGCUCUCGACGAGUCGAGUUGUUUGGGAAUGCAGCUCAAAGUGGGUGGUAAAUUCCAUCUAAAGCUAAAUACAGGCGAGAGACCGAUAGCGAACAAGUACAGUGAUGGAAAGAUGAAAAGCACUUUGAAAAGAGAGUGAAACAGCACGUGAAAUUGUUGAAAGGGAAGGGCAUGCCGUCAGAUUGUCAGUGUGGGUAAGAAGCGGGGUACAAAGACUGUGGAACGUGGCCCUCGGGUGUUAUAGCCGCAGUUCAUGCCCCGUCUCUUUCCGAGGCCUGCUUUGAGGACACCGACGUAAUGACGGUACGCCGCCCGUCUUGAAACACGGACCA